rnacentral:lncRNA from 1 species
CGAAGAUUAUCCGAAUCUACGCGUCAACACCUGGCGCCAGUUGCCAAAACGCGCUUUCUAGCGAGUGGCGAGAACGCGCUUCACUCGCGUCUAUAAUACGAGAAAAUCUGACCCCCUUCUAUAAUUUUACCUUCUCUCUUUUGGGAUUAUCAUCCCCAAAUUUACCUUCAGCCAAGAUUCUUAACCGAUAUAAACCCCCGAAGGCUUGAUUUUCUAUCCCGCAAUCACAAAUUUCUCGGAAGGUUUCAAUUUCUCUCGAUUUGGGGUCAUCGGAGACGAACACAGUUCGCGAUUGUUCCCGGAGAUAUCCGUGCGGCCCAACCCGAUCGGCGGUUCCGCUUCCACGAUCCGACGUCAUUUCGCUGUCAAUUGAAUCCACCCUGCAGCUCUAGAGUUCUUUGAUUCUUUCAGAUUGCUUCAAGAAUAUCGAAGGCUUUGUUCGUUGCAAGAAUAUCGAAGGCUUUGUUCUCUGAGAUUUCUGAGAUUCGAUUCGAAUUCAUCGGCGGAGGGUUGCAUAAGUCUUUAUCAGUGCGAGGUAUCGAAUCGGUGAUCGGUGAAGAGUUAGGGUUCGGCGUUCAAGGGAGAUUGGAGACCUUCUGCGGCGGUUUGAUUUGUUUGACCUCAGUAGAGUAAUCG